rnacentral:rRNA from 2 species
CAACAUGACUCUCGGCAACGGAUAUCUCGGCUCUCGCAUCGAUGAAGAACGUAGCAAAAUGCGAUACCUGGUGUGAAUUGCAGAAUCCCGUGAACCAUCGAGUUUUUGAACGCAAGUUGCGCCCGAGACCUUCUGGUUGAGGGCACGUCUGCCUGGGCGUCACG